rnacentral:rRNA from 1 species
CCUACGGGGGCAGCAGUGGGGAAUAUUGGACAAUGGGCGAAAGCCUGAUCCAGCCAUGCCGCGUGUGUGAAGAAGGCCUUCGGGUUGUAAAGCACUUUCAGUGGGGAAGAAAGCCUUGGGGCUAAUACCCUCGAGGAAGGACAUCACCCACAGAAGAAGCACCGGCUAACUCCGUGCCAGCAGCCGCGGUAAUACGGAGGGUGCGAGCGUUAAUCGGAAUUACUGGGCGUAAAGCGCGCGUAGGCGGUCUGAUAAGCCGGUUGUGAAAGCCCCGGGCUCAACCUGGGAACGGCAUCCGGAACUGUCAGGCUAGAGUGCAGGAGAGGAAGGUAGAAUUCCCGGUGUAGCGGUGAAAUGCGUAGAGAUCGGGAGGAAUACCAGUGGCGAAGGCGGCCUUCUGGACUGACACUGACGCUGAGGUGCGAAAGCGUGGGUAGCAAACAGGAUUAGAUACCCGGGUAGUC